rnacentral:rRNA from 1 species
UAGACCGCCUGGGGAGUACGGCCGCAAGGUUAAAACUCAAAUGAAUUGACGGGGGCCCGCACAAGCGGUGGAGCAUGUGGUUUAAUUCGAUGCAACGCGAAGAACCUUACCUGGUCUUGACAUCCACAGAAGAAUCCAGAGAUGGAUUUGUGCCUUCGGGAACUGUGAGACAGGUGCUGCAUGGCUGUCGUCAGCUCGUGUUGUGAAAUGUUGGGUUAAGUCCCGCAACGAGCGCAACCCUUAUCCUUUGUUGCCAGCGGUUAGGCCGGGAACUCAAAGGAGACUGCCAGU